rnacentral:misc_RNA from 1 species
UUCCGGGGUUAUAAGACCAGACAGGAAGUGAAAGAACAGAUGGCCAAGGAGGAAAAGAAAGACUGAUAUGUCUGAAAUACAGACCAAGGUUAAUUUGUGAUCUUCAGGCAGGAACAAGGAGAUUCAUCAAAUGUGAUUAUUUCUAGAACUGAGGACAACGAUGUGUCAUUGCAUUCCUGUUUAUCUGUUUAUUGCUAUUUAUAUAUCUUUAUGUAUGAAUUUGUUUUUUGUUCAUUCUUCAGUUGCCGAAUUCCAAGAGUAACAUUUACAUGUUUAUAAUUGAUUUAGAUGAACUAUUGUAUGAAAUUUUGUACUUCAGAUGGUAAAAACAUCUAUGCAUAG